rnacentral:rRNA from 1 species
UAUCAGUAUGAAGUUUACUUUGUAUUAUCGUGUGCUCAAUGUUGGACGGGGGUUGUAGGGUAGCAACGUCGAAUUAACGAGAAAAGUCAAAAAAUUGUAUUAUAGAUUAAGUUGUUGGAAACCAACACCAUAGACGGUGAUAGUCCGGUAAUCGAAAUAAUAUGAACUUUUUUGUUGCUAUACCUGAGUAGCUCAGGACAUGUAAAGCUUGAGCGAAUCCACCGGGACUAACCGGUAAGGCUAAAUAUAUUGAGAGAUCGAUAGUGAACAAGUACCGUGAGGGAAAGGUGAAAAGAACCCUGAAAAGGGAGUGAAAUAGAUCCUGAAACCAUAUGCUUACAAGGAGUCGGAGCGGACGCAUUUAUGUGUUCCGUCACGGCGUGCCUAUUGAAGAAUGAGCCAACGAGUUUAUUUGUGUUGCUGGCUAAGUGGAAACCCCACGGAGCCUCAGGGAAACCAAGUGUUAAUAGCGCGACAAAUUAAGUAGUACAAAUAAGACCCGAAGCCAAGUGAGCUACCCAUGGGCAGGUUGAAGUGACUCGAAAGAGUUAUGGAGGACCGAACCGGUGAGCCGUACAAUACUCUCGGAUGACCUGUGGGUUGGAGUGAAAAGCUAAUCGAACUUGGUAAUAGCUGGUUCUCGCCGAAAUAGCUUUAGGGCUAGCGUACACUGUACCCUCUGGGGGUAGAGCACUGGAAGAUUUUGAUAGGGAGCAAUCUCGCAAAAUCUAUCAAACUCCGAAUACCAGAGACCAAUUAGUGUGCAGUUAGACAGUGGGGGCUAAGCUCCACGUGUCAAAAGGGGAACAGCCCAGAUCUCAGGUUAAGGUCCCUAAAUCAUAGUUAAGUGCAUCUUAAGGAGGUAAUAUUUCUCAGACAAUGAGGAGGUUGGCUUAGAAGCAGCCAUCCUUUAAAGAAAGCGUAACAGCUCACUCAUCAAGAGAUUUUGCACCGAAAAUAAUCGGGGCUAAACUAUGUACCGAAACUGAGGAUUCGUGUUGAUUUAUCAACGACGACUGGUAGGCGAGUAUUCGAUUCUGCUGUGAAGGCAAAGGGGUGACCCAUGCUGGAGCGUAUCGAAGUAAGAAUGUUGGCACAAGUAACCGCAAGGAGGGUGAGACCCCCUCCCGCCGAAAGAUCAAGGUUUCCUUGGCAAUGUCAAUCAGCCAAGGGUUAGUCGGGCCUAAGGGGAUGGUGAAAACCGAACUCGAUGGACACAUGGUUAAUAUUCCAUGACUUUCUAUAUAUGUGAUGAAGGGACGAAGGGUUGUACCAUUCGCUCAUUAUUGGAUUUGAGUUUAUGUUAUGAGGAUGUUUGGUAGGCAAAUCCGCCAGACACUAAUCCGAGUAAAGUAUAAAUGCCAGGGUUCGCCUUGGUAGAUGAAUGGGAGCACGCUUCCGAGAAAAUCUUCUAAACUUUGUAUAUAGAAAACCGUACCGCAAACCGACACAGGUGAUCAGGUCGAGUAGACCAAGGCGAACGAGUGAGUGAUCUUCAAGGAACUCGGCAAAAAAGCAGCCGUAAGUUAGCAAUAAGGCUUGCCACCCGCAAGGGUGGCCGCAGCGAAAGUUUCUCUGGCAACUGUUUAUCAAAAACACAGCUCCCUGCGAACACGUAAGUGGAUGUAUAGGGGGUGACGCCUGACCAAUGCUAGAAGGUUAAAUAUCGACGUUGCCAUUCGCAAGAGUGGUGGUGAUUGAUACAAGCCCUAGUGAAUGUCGGCCGUAACUAUAACGGUCCUAAGGUAGCGAAGUACCUUGUCGGGUAAGUUCCGACGCGCACGAAUGGCGUAAUGACUGGAGAACUGUCUCGAAGAUUAGCUCGGUGAAAAUACAAUACCGGUGAAGAUGCCGGUUACCUGCAGAUAGACGAAAAGACCCCGGAAGCUUUACUGCAACUUGAUAUUGAGCAUAUGUUAGUACUGCGUAGAAUAGGUGGUAGAGGUUAUGUGCAUCCUUUUGGGGGUGUAAUACUCGACAAGUGAAAUACCACUCUGUAUGUAUGUAUGUUCUAAUUUCGACGGAAAAAACGUCGAGAGACAGUAUCUGGUAGGUAGUUUGACUGGGGCGGUCUCCUCCUAAAGAGUAACGGAGGAAUUUAUUAAGGUCAGUUAGGCGCGUAUGGAAAUCGUGCCGAUAGUGCAAGGGCAUAAACUGGCUUAACUGUAAGAAGGACAUUUCGAGCAGAUGCGAAAGCAGAACCUAGUGAACCGACGGUACGUAUUAGACGCGGCCGAAGAUUAAUGGAUAGAAGCUACUCCGGGGAUAACAGGCUAGUUCCGCCUAAGCGUCCAUAGCGACGGCGGAGUUCGGCACCUCGAUGUCGGCUCACCUUAACCUGGGGGUGGAGAAGCUCCCAAGGGUAUGGCUGUUCGCCAUUUAAAAAGGUACGCGAGCUGGGUUCAAACCGUUCAGUUUAUGAUGUGGUCUGUAUGUAGAACAAAAAGUUUACUUUCUGUUCUACAUACAGAUCGUGUAUCACGACCUGAACCCAUUUGAAUCCGAGGAGAUGAUUUAAGGAGAAUCAUCAAAAAGACAUCAAUCACGGCGGCCAUGCAUAGCGAUAUGUAUGUGCGCAUUCAACUUAUAUCGGUGAAACCCUUCGAGUUAAAAACUCUCAGGGUAACACCGAGGGAAGAGUCUUAAAAACUCACCCGUAGAGACUAAAUGUUGAAGCACUCAUUGAGUGUAAGUUAUAGUCCGAUCCCUUCAGUAAUGAAGGUUCGAUUAUGUGUUUACGCAACAUAUAAUAGAAGUAAAACGUAGAUGCGUGAGACAGGUUGGUCUCCUAUCUACUGCAGGCGUUGACUCUUGAGAAGAUUCGUCCCUAGUACGAGAGGACCGGGAUGAACUGACCUCUGGUGUACCAGCUCUUUUGCCAAAAGGAUCGCUGGGUAGCUAAGUCGGGAAUGGAUAACCUCUGAAAGCAUCUAAGAGGGAAGCCAACUUCAAGAUGAGGAGUCGGUAUGAGGACCCUAGGAGAUUACUAGGUUGAUAGGCAUUAGGUGUAAGCAUAGCAAUAUGUUCAGCCAAGAUGUACUAAUUGUCCCAUUCCUAUUAGGUA